rnacentral:rRNA from 1 species
UAAUGGAGAGUUUGAUCCUGGCUCAGAAUGAACGCUGGCGGCAUGGAUUAGGCAUGCAAGUCGAACGUG